CGCAGACCUAGAUCCUUCUGUGGCGGUUGCUCCUAGAGGCUGCAGGGGGGCGGGAGCCGGAGCCGAGCGCUCAGAUCAUUUUCAAUACAACGAGAGACUGCAGACUGCCUUUGAAAUGGACCCAAGGGGGAAUCAAGGAUGUGAAGCAGCCACUGAAGAGACCAAGAUGAAUGCAGAGAUACUGCCACUAUAGUGACAUUUUACCAUGUGUCCAAGAAGACAGAGCAUGGCCAUGAGG